rnacentral:misc_RNA from 1 species
GGCUUCCCGCUAUAUCCCAAUCAUUGCUUUGGUAAAAGCCCUAACUUUAUCUUCCGAUUCGUCUCUCUGCCUUCAGCCAUGGUUCUCUCCUUUGAUUUGCAGGACUUUAUUCUCCGUGCUCGAGUUUUGAAGCUAUACAGACAAGCAUUAAGGACUGCACAAAGAGCCCCUGAACAUGCUAGAGUUGAACUGAAGCAGACAAU